CUUCCUCAAUUCAUACCCAUCCUGCAGAAAAAAUAAAUGUAGUUAGUAUGAAAAAUUCACGGAGAAGGUCUUAAAACAUGUAACCCACAAUACUCACCACGCAAACCGGCUUUACCAAUUCUUUACCGUUCCACCAGAGCAUAAAAUGAAAAACAAAAUAGCCAGACACAUUCCUGGAAAACUUUCAAUUAAUAUUAUAAAUAAUAUAAUGAUAACAAAAGUAAAUAUUCUUGUUAUGAAUUCAUUACCCGUCUAUACUCGUUGGAACACCAGCCGGAAAUAAACGAUGCCAUUUAGAUAUAUCAAAAUUCCACCCAGGCAGCUUUAUUUCGAGUGCUUCUUUGAAAUCCCUUGAAAAGCUUUUUAAUUUCAGUGAAUGCCUCAAGUUUUUAUCCUCUGACGAUUGUGAUGAUUGAAUAGGAUCCAUAAUAUAUAGACGACGUGCCUCUUUGUCG
rnacentral:lncRNA from 1 species